rnacentral:tRNA from 1 species
GGCUCCAUAGUGUAGUGGUUAGCACGUCUGCUUUACAUGCAAAAGGUUCUGGGUUCGUGGCCCAGGAGGAGCCA